AGGGAGAUAUGAAUAAAAUGUAGCCACUGCCCAGUCUGCCAGGGUUGAGGGGGAGAGAGGAGUGAAAAGAGUUGGGGAUGGGGGGGCACAUCAGCCCGUAGUCUACCCGCUGCAUUAGAGACAUUGAGCCAUAAACCAGGGCAACUUGGAUUGCAGGAGUUCUGACAGUGCUCCUCAUACCUGGGCAGACAAGAUGGCCCAAAUGGUAGAAUCUAUGUAUUUGAGACUUAGGUCAAUUAAUGGAUAAGGAUUCCUGGGAUGGAAGCUGAAGAAGUCUGACCUUACUUAAAUUAUAAACAAGAUUCCACAUUCAUGCAUGAGAUGUUGGAGUUGCUCAAAACAGAUCUGCUCCUCCAGAAUUAACUGGGCAAAGGUGAAUUGGAGAAGUUUGGAAGCUUGUAAUCUUCAAAAAGGUUGGAAGAAGAAAUCAGAAACCAGGGACCAGUGUCUCUAUAGUGUCAAUAUAGCAAUUGAAACCAGUGAGGCAACACUGAGCUGCUUAAAAUGGUGUAGCAGUGGUUCUGUGGCGGGCAAGA
rnacentral:lncRNA from 1 species